rnacentral:lncRNA from 1 species
UUCAGAACUUAAACCCAUUGCAUGCAAGAACUGAAUUUUGGGGGUUUUGUUUGAAGAACAGAAGCUGAGGUUAGAUGGAUUGGAAGUUGCUUGAUAUGUUUAAAGGGGGAAUAUGUGAAGAAAUAUAAAGGGAUAAUUAAAGGAUACAAGUACACUUUGGUGUUAAGUGGAGGGACAAAGUUGUAAUCAAACAUAUAAUGCAUGCCAUAGAGGUUAUAAAAGGAUAAGUGUUGUGGACCAACCAUUGAGAUAUCCAUUCUUUCUCUCUCUCACGAUCAGACACAACAACAACAACACAUCUUUCUAUCAUCUUCACCACAUGCCAAGUCCAUCUCAAACCCCAAUCACUCAUGCAAUUCCAAAAUUAAGAUCCUAAAGUCAUAAACUACAAGGUAAUGGGUUUUAAUUUAACUCUUCUGUAUGGUCUCUAAUAAUUCUCUCUAAUUACUAUUUCUCUAUUAAUUGAAUUUGGAUGUUACAAAUGCUGAAAUGUAUGGAAAUUUCAAAAAUUAAGGACCAAAAAUCUACUAUAGUUUCUAUAUAUACGGGUCAAAAAUGAAAUAAAUUUCACAAGUAAUUUAAAAAACAAAAAUAUCAAAAUGAACAUCUAUGGAAUACGGGGAGCUAUAUUUCUAUCCAUAUACCAAUAUUGGGACCACUUUUUCUUAAAAUUUGUACGGAGCCUUUAUUUAU